UAAAGGUUUGGUCCUGGCUUUACUGUCAGCUUCUGCCCAACUUACACAUGCAAGCCUCCGCGCUCCGGUGAGGAUGCCCUUAAUCCCCCGUCCGGGGACGAGGAGCCGGUAUCAGGCGCAUUUACUUAGCCCAAGACGCCUUGCUUAGCCACACCCCCAAGGGAAUUCAGCAGUGAUAAAUAUUAAGCCAUGAGUGAAAACUUGACUUAGUUAGGGUAAAGAGGGCCGGUAAAACUCGUGCCAGCCACCGCGGUUAUACGAGAGGCCCUAGUUGAUUUAAUCGGCGUAAAGAGUGGUUAUGGAGAGUUAAAAAAUAGAGCUGAAGACCUCUCGGGCCGUAAUACGCAUCCAGAAGUUCGAAUCACAAACACGAAAGUAGCUUUACCUUCUUCCACCAGAAUCCACGACAGCUGGGACACAAACUGGGAUUAGAUACCCCACUAUG
rnacentral:rRNA from 1 species